UACGGGGGGGGCAAGCGUUGUUCGGAAUUACUGGGCGUAAAGGGCGCGUAGGCGGUUCGCUAAGUUGGAUGUGAAAACUCUGGGCUCAACCCAGAGCCUGCAUCCAAAACUGGCGGGCUAGAGUUCUGGAGGGGAUAGCGGAAUUCCUGGUGUAGCGGUGAAAUGCGUAGAUAUCAGGAGGAACACCGGUGGCGAAGGCGGCUAUCUGGACAGAGUCUGACGCUGAGGCGCGAAAGCUAGGGGAGCAAACAGG
rnacentral:rRNA from 1 species